rnacentral:rRNA from 1 species
AGAGUUUGAUCCUGGCUCAGGACGAACGCUGGCGGCGCGCCUAACACAUGCAAGUCGAACGGAGCUUAGAGAGCUUGCUUUUUAAGCUUAGUGGCGAACGGGUGAGUAACGCGUGAGUAACCUGCCCUAGAGUGGGGGACAACAGUUGGAAACGACUGCUAAUACCGCAUAAGCCCACGGUACCGCAUGGUACUGAGGGAAAAGGAUUUAUUCGCUUUAGGAUGGACUCGCGUCCAAUUAGCUAGUUGGUGAGGUAACGGCCCACCAAGGCGACGAUUGGUAGCCGGACUGAGAGGUUGAACGGCCACAUUGGGACUGAGACACGGCCCAGACUCCUACGGGAGGCAGCAGUGGGGGAUAUUGCACAAUGGGGGAAACCCUGAUGCAGCGACGCCGCGUGGAGGAAGAAGGUUUUCGGAUUGUAAACUCCUGUCGUUAGGGACGAUAAUGACGGUACCUAACAAGAAAGCACCGGCUAACUACGUGCCAGCAGCCGCGGUAAAACGUAGGGUGCAAGCGUUGUCCGGAAUUACUGGGUGUAAAGGGAGCGCAGGCGGGAAGACAAGUUGGAAGUGAAAACCAUGGGCUCAACCCAUGAAUUGCUUUCAAAACUGUUUUUCUUGAGUAGUGCAGAGGUAGAUGGAAUUCCCGGUGUAGCGGUGGAAUGCGUAGAUAUCGGGAGGAACACCAGUGGCGAAGGCGGCCUACUGGGCACCAACUGACGCUGAGGCUCGAAAGUGUGGGUAGCAAACAGGAUUAGAUACCCUGGUAGUCCACACCGUAAACGAUGAUUACUAGGUGUUGGAGGAUUGACCCCUUCAGUGCCGCAGUUAACACAAUAAGUAAUCCACCUGGGGAGUACGACCGCAAGGUUGAAACUCAAAGGAAUUGACGGGGGCCCGCACAAGCAGUGGAGUAUGUGGUUUAAUUCGAAGCAACGCGAAGAACCUUACCAGGUCUUGACAUCCUACUAACGAGAUAGAGAUAUGUUAGGUGCCCUUCGGGGAAAGUAGAGACAGGUGGUGCAUGGUUGUCGUCAGCUCGUGUCGUGAGAUGUUGGGUUAAGUCCCGCAACGAGCGCAACC